AUGGCGGAGCUGGCAUGGCGCUUUGCGGCCGCACACGUCCUGCUGUUGCCCGCGGCCGUCGGCGGCAUCGCCUACCUCCUCCUCCGCGCUCUACGUGCUUCACAACUCCGGCAGGAUUGCAGGAGCCCGCCGCCGGGAGGCAUCGGCGGCUGGUGCCGGGGCGCGGUCGGGGCGGAGACGCUGUCCUUCCUGGCCGACAACAGCAGCGGCAGGGGCUUCUACCACUUCGUCCACGCCCGCGCGCUCCGGUACGGCGCCUGCUUCCGCACCGUGCUCUUCGGCCGCACCCACGUCUUCCUCCUCUCCUCCCGCGCGCGCGCCGCCGCCGCCAGCCUCCUGGCCGCCGACCCGCCCCACUUCGCCAAGCGCUACGUGCGCACCGUCGCCGACCUGCUCGGCGAGCACAGCCUCCUCUGCACCUCCCACGGCGCCCACCGCCGCAUGCGCCGCGCCGUCGCGGGCCUCUUCGCCUCCGCGCCCACGGCCGCCUUCGCCGCCGCCUUCGACCGCCUGAUCACCGCCCGGCUGCUGGCCGACGGCUGCAAGGGCCAGGCCGUCGUGCUGGACGCCGCGCUCGACGUCACCUUCAGGGCCAUCUGCGAGAUGCUCAUCGGGCCACGGGACGACACGCGCGAGCUGGAGCAGCUGCAGAGCGACGUCAUGGACGUAACGCAAGCCAUGCUCGCGCUGCCAAUCAGGCUGCCUCGAACAAGGUUCUACAGAGGCCUACAGGCAAGGAAGAGGAUCAUGGAUGCACUGAGGCAAGAAAUAUCCACGAGGCGAGAAAAUGGCCUGAAACUAGAUCACCGGGACGACUUUCUGCAGACCCUUCUUCUCAAGAGCCAUAUGGAUUCACCUGAAGAAGCGCUCACGGAUGAACAGAUUCUGGAUAACAUUUUGACACUCAUAAUUGCAGGGCAAGUGACAACAGCAACAGCAAUUACCUGGAUGGUCAAGUACCUGGGCGACAACACAGAUCUCCAAGAGAAACUAAGAUCAGUUCAGCUGGAUCUGGCAUCCAAGCACAAUGAUGCACCUCUUACCCUACAACAUCUGAACACCAUGGACUACGCAUACAAGACGGUCAAAGAAUCCUUGAGGAUGGCCACCAUAGUUUCUUGGUUUCCAAGGGUGGCACUCAAGGACUGCCAGGUUGCAGGAUUCCACAUUAAGAAGGACUGGCUCGUAAAUGUCGAUGCGAGAUCCAUACACUAUGAUCCAACCAUCUAUGACAGUCCGACAGUGUUUGAUCCUUCCAGGUUCAAUGAUGAUAUGAAGCCAUACAGCUUCUUGGCAUUUGGAGCAGGCAGCAGAACAUGCCUGGGGAUGAACCUUGCCAAGAUUAUGAUGCUAAUAUUCCUUCAUCGCCUUGUCACAAAUUUCAGAUGGGAAAUGGCAGACCACGAUACAAGCCUUGAGAAAUGGGCAAUGUUUCCGAGGCUAAAGAAUGGCUGCCCAAUUCAGCUCACGCCGAUACGCAAGGACAAGAUGCACUGA
rnacentral:rRNA from 1 species